rnacentral:rRNA from 1 species
ACACAUUUUAGAGCCUAAUUCAUUUCAAUUAACAAUCGAAAUUACAUUCAAAUCCAAAUUCAAAACUUUAAUGCUAAAAUCCAUUCUUAAAUAAAUUUAUUGUAAUCCAUCUCUACUUAUAUAAGCUGCACCUUGAUCUGAUUUUUAAUAUAAUUAUAUAUUCUAAUUAUAUAUUUCCGAAAAUAAUUUUUAACGACGAUAUACAAGCAAAAUCUAAGUUUUAUUAAUCGUGGAUUAUCGAUUACAGGACAGAUUCCCCUGAUUGGAAUAAAAAACCGCCAAAUUUUUUGAUUUUUAAGUUCAUAACUAAUAUUUAUCAAGUAUACAAAAAUCUACAUCUAGAAUAAUGGGGUAUCUAAUCCCAGUUUACUUUCUAGAUUUCUUAACUUCUUAAUCAAAAAUUCAAUUACAUAAAAAAUAGGAUUCCACCCAAUAUUAAUCAAAAUAAAAAUUAACUUUUAAUAAUUAAAUAUAACCAAAAAAAAAUANUAGCAUUAUUUGUUUAACCGCA